GUUUAAUUGGACUCAACGCCGGGAAGCUCACCGGAUAGGACAGCAGAAUGAUUGCCGGGCUGAAGACCCUGCAUGACUAGCUGAGAGGAGGUGCAUGGCCGUCGUCAGUUCGUACUGUGAAGCAUCCUGUUAAGUCAGGCAACGAGCAAGACCCACGCCAACAGUUGCCAGCAUGGUCUCCGGACUGAUGGGGACACUGUUGGGACCGCCUCUGCUAAAGAGGAGGAAGGAAUGGGCAACGGUAGGUCAGCAUGCCCCGAAUUAUCCGGGCUAUACGCGGGCUACAAUGGGCAGGACAAUGGGCAUCGACACCGUGAGGUGGAGGCAAUCUCCUAAACCUGUCCUUAGUUCGGAUUGUGGGCUGAAACUCGCCCACAUGAAGCUGGAAUCUGUAGUAAUCGCGUUUCAAAAUAACGCGGUGAAUUUGUCCCUGCUCCUUGCACACACCGCCCGUCAAACCACCCGAGUGGGGUUUGGAUGAGGUUACGGUCGUUGCCGUAGUCGAAUCUAGGUUCCGCAAGGGGGGUUAAGUCGUAACAAGGUAACCAAGGGCGAAU
rnacentral:rRNA from 1 species